UACGUAGGGUGCAAGCGUUGUCCGGAAUUAUUGGGCGUAAAGAGCUCGUAGGCGGUUUGUCGCGUCUGCUGUGAAAACCCGAGGCUCAACCUCGGGCCUGCAGUGGGUACGGGCAGACUAGAGUGCGGUAGGGGGAGAUUGGAAUUCCUGGUGUAGCGGUGGAAUGCGCAGAUAUCAGGAGGAACACCGAUGGCGAAGGCAGGUCACUGGGCCGCAACUGACGCUGAGGAGCGAAAGCAUGGGGAGCGAACAGG
rnacentral:rRNA from 1 species